CGACGAUGGACAAGGAACCUAAAACAAAAGUACGUGUCUGCGCCGUCCUCAAAAAAGGGGCAGCUUAUCCCCAUCAAGCAAGUCACCCCUACCGCAUUGUGGCUUCGAAAACACCCCCGGCUCAAUAGUACACGCAAACGUGCUAUCUAGAUACGUUUAUCUAGACCGUGUCUGCCUUUCUGGCCCUAGUUGAAUGAACAGGACUUGUUUUCAUCAGCGAACCCAUAAGAUCAGCGAGUGAAGCUAAGUGAUCUUGCCACAGGGACUCUGCAGAAAGCGUGCAGCUAAAAAAAUUAAUUGAAAUCUUUCAGUUGCCAACACUGUUUGGCUUUGGAAACCAAAUUUAGAUGAGUGAAGAAACGCAAAAUUCUUUAUCCAAAAACAAAAAAAAAAAGAAAAAAGGUUUCACCCAGAGACGUACUCUUUGAUACCUAAUUACAUUGAAAUAAUAAAACGAGUACAUUGGAAAUUAAAGCUGUUCUAAUUAGUCUACAAAAUUUAAAAUGAAACUGUAGAGUUAAUAAGGUGGUUAGAAUUAAAAUAACAUAAGGAAAAAAAUGUUUUUUCAAGUAGAUUGCACAAAGAAUUACUAUUGGAAUUGGUUGACUAUAAUUUUCGAUAUGCUUCACUUAGACUCUCUAGACUUUCAUAGAGAGUUCCGUUAAGAGCCAUAAACGUUUGGAGGACAGAAGAGGAAAAGGAACGAGGCGUCGUCCGAUCGAUACAUUUCAGCGUGAUAAUUAUAGUAAAUGCAUUGAAUUAUUCGGUCCCCGGAGGCUUCCAAGUCGAGUACUUCGAAAACUAUGCGGAGGCGAAACGUAACCGGUCCGUCCUGUGCCAGCUUUCACCCCUAACGCAACGAUCCCAACAGUGCCGUGAAGAAAACAGGAGCUUUGAGAAAUCGAAUUGGGAAUCUUGAAUCUCUUGUCCGGAAGAAUCUUCGUAAAGGCAACUACUUGAGAACAAGCUGCCACCUGAAACAGUGUCGUUCAGGAGAUUAGUAUUAACUAAAUUCUCAGACGAGUUUCGUUUUGAUACUCACGGAAUUUCUGACUUCUUUUCAUAACAUGUAAUCAUUCCUAGAGAGUAAAAUUUAAGAGAAUAGAAUCCAAAAGUGUUUAAAGCGUCAAGAUCAUUAUUUUACAAGUUAUGCGCUAUAUUAACGAAGCAAAAUUGAAGUCAGCAUGGCGCCACUUACCAGUUUAGAAAACGUUAAAUUUCAAUUUCUGUAGAAAUUCCACAGAAUUACGAAGUUAUGUUUAAUAAUUGCUUUCCCAAAAACAAAUGAAAUAAUAUUGUUUUUAAAAAAAAUUAUUCACUCGUCGUAAACAAAUGUCACAUCAAGAAAAUACAAUAU